CUAUAACGUUUCCUGGAAUAUAAUGUUGCAUCAAAUAGAUUUCAUCUUCCUGGUAACAGCAGUGUCCAUCUCCUACGAAACUCUCCAUCACCCACCCGACUCCAUGUGGUUCCAGUGGGACAGCCAAUCACAACAGCCUCCCUCUGGCCACGUGACUCAGACCCUGCACUCAAAGCAUCAUCUGGCAACACCCGGAUCAAUAAACUGGUUCAUCUGUUCUUGUGGCCCCCACCCAGGAACCGACCCAGUGAAAGAGGAGAGUUUCAACUCCCUGUGAUUUCGUCUCCCACCUAACCAAUUAGCACUCCCCACUUUCUGACCCCCUACCCACCAAAUUAUCAAAAACCCUGAUCUCUGAAUUUUCAGGGAGAUUGACUUGAGUAAUAAUCAAUUUUGCAUGUGGCAUGGCCGGCCUCGUGUCAAUUAAACUCUUUCUUUACUGCAA